AGCGAACGCUGGCGGCAGGCUUAACACAUGCAAGUCGAGCGCCCCGCAAGGGGAGCGGCAGACGGGAUAGUAACACGUGGGAACGUACCCUUCAGUUCGGAACAACCCAGGGAAACUUGGGCUAAUACCGAAUACGUCCGUAAGGAGAAAGAUUUAUCGCUGAAGGAUCGGCCCGCGUCUGAUUAGCUAGUUGGUGAGGUAAUGGCUCACCAAGGCGACGAUCAGUAGCUGGUCUGAGAGGAUGAUCAGCAUCACGUGGACUGAGACGACCGGCCCAGACUCCGUACGGGAGGCUCG
rnacentral:rRNA from 1 species